UUAACUAUUAUAUAGUACUCAGACCGCAGUGAUUCAAGAGUUAGGCCUCUGGCAGACACGACCCAGCCGAAGCCGGAGGCCUGCCAAAGCAACAAAGUUGAUAUACAAAGGGUGAGAAUAGCGUCCGAAGACGUAAAUUCUUUAAUGAUCCUUCCGCAGGUUCCGUUGACUCCCGGCAGUUGCCAGCCGGGACGGGCUCUAUCUCAAGCUCACUUACUGAGCCCACACUCAUUGAGUCUCUGAACCCCGGGUAGGGGCUGCGGAUUUCCCUCCAAGGAGGGCCUUUCCGCACGUUGAGCGUGUCGCCUCCAGGGGAGACUAGCAAGCCGGAGCUCACUGUGGUAGGCAAAACUUGACCUACGGAAA
rnacentral:misc_RNA from 1 species